AACGAACGCUGGCGGCAUGCCUAACACAUGCAAGUCGAACGAGACCUUCGGGACUAGUGGCGCAUGGGUGUGUCACGCGUGGGAACCUUCCCUUAGGUUUGGAAUAACUCUCCUUAAGGGGUGCUAACACCGGAUAAUGUCUUCUGAUCAAAGAUUUAUCGACUUUGGAUGGGCCCGCGUUGGAUUAGCUUGUUGGUAGGGUAAAAGCCUACGAAGGCUACGAUCCAUAGCUGGUAUGAGAGGAUGGGCAGCCACACUGGGACUGGGACACGGCCCAGACUCCUACGGGAGGGAGAAGAGGGGAAUACUGGACAAUGGGGGAAGGGAUGAAGCAGCAAGGGCGGGAGAGUGAUGAAGGUGUGAGAGAUGUAAAGCUGUUUUACACGGGAUGAUAAUGACGGUACCGGGAGAAUAAGCACCGGCUAACUCCGUG
rnacentral:rRNA from 1 species